GACGAACGCUGGCGGCGUGCUUAACACAUGCAAGUCGAACGGAAAGGCCCUGCUUUUGUGGGGUGCUCGAGUGGCGAACGGGGGAGUAACACGUGAGUAACCUGCCCUUGACUGUGGGAUAACUUCAGGAAACUGGGGCUAAUACCGGAUAGGAGCUCCUGCUGCAUGGUGGGGGUUGGAAAGUUUCGGCGGUGGGGGAUGGACUCGCGGCUUAUCAGCUUGUUGGUGGGGUAGUGGCUUACCAAGGCUUUGACGGGUAGCCGGCCUGAGAGGGUGACCGGGCACAUUGGGGCUGAGAUACGGCCCAGAAUCCUACGGGAGGCAGCAGUGGGGAAUCUUGCACAAUGGGCCGAAGCCUGAUGGAGCGACGCCGCGUGCGGGAUGACGGCCUUCGGGUUGUAAACCGCUUUCGCCUGUGACGAAGAGUGAGUGACGGUAAUGGGUAAAGAAGCACCGGCUAACUACGUG
rnacentral:rRNA from 1 species